rnacentral:lncRNA from 1 species
UUUUCAAAAAAUUCUAAAUUUUUCCUAAAAAAGAAAGUAUGAAGCAAUAAUGCCUUUUUGAAUAAAAAAUAAGAACCAGCUACUCUUUGAGAUUUUUUUUAGAUGUUUUCUCUUAAUAAAUUUAGAAUUUGAUUAUAAGAUUUUAAGAAUUUAUUCCUCUCUUUAUAAGCUUUCUUAAAUACUUUUACUUGCUAAAAAAGAAAUUAGUAUGAAAUUGUGGUAUAUUUUUUUAAUUAAGAAGAGUUAGUUGCUUUAUGUUAAUAUAAUCCAUGGCUUUUUUUUCAUAAAUAAUGUUAAAUAAUAAUU